AAUUGCUGUCCGCCGCCGCCCUCCAGCUGUGCGGCUCCGCCCGGGACCCCGGCGCGCUGCGCGGCGGGAGGACGGGCCCCUGGUGGCUUUCCGUGGCACACGGUUCGGGGCCACCUGCUGCGCACCCGGUCCUGCACCUUCAUGAAAUCGCACCCUAAGCCUCACAACCACCUUGGGAGACGUUAUCGCCCGCGUCUUAUGGAGGAGGAAAGUGAGGGUUACUAAGUCUAAGGAUUUACCCCAUCCGUGGGUGUAAUCAAGCAAAUCACAACAGGGAUUUACUCGUGUCUGCCCCGAGAUUUCCAGAACUCUGCAUCCUUUGUUGCAGCUCAAACUGUGAUCCACAGAGUACCAGCGACCCAGCUUCCAGGCGAACUGGAUACAAGUACUGAUUUCUGGAGUUGGCCCCGGACCUACUGACCAUCCAGACCCGGUGCUAAAACUGAAGGUUUUCAUGGAAGUCAGAUUUCAUGGAAGGAAGAUGUUCCUAUCCUGUGACAUUUGGCCAGAUCACCUGAGCCCCCGGUUUCCUCCGCUGUGAAAUGCGGUUGACAGCUGUUGGUGGGAUUUUAAAGAAAGGCUGCGCUGUACCUGACACGGGCUGGCCCACCCGGUGGCACUAUGGGUCCACCCACAGCCCCUGCUCCAGAUUCCCUGCUCUCUCCCUUAUGUUCAGGUACUCUGGGGGGCUCUAAAAAUGCAAAACGGAUGAAGACAUUUGGGGUGGCUGCUGGCAGGGAGCCACGUUCUGCCCCAUAAUAAACUGGACGAGGAGCUAAGAGUCUUCUUCUGAGAAUAUUAAAAUGUCUAUUGACCAAA